CAGGAAGAGACAGGUGGAGCUGUAGUUCUAUGAAACAGGAAGAGUUUGGUGGAGACAGGCGGAGCUGUGGUACUAUGAGACAGGAAGAGACAGGUGGAGCUGUAGUUCUAUGAAACAGGAAGAGUUUGGUGGAGACAGGCGGAGCUGUGGUACUAUGAGACAGGAAGAGACAGGUGGAGCUGUAGUUCUAUGAAACAGGAAGAGUUUGGUGGAGACAGGCGGAGCUGUGGUACUAUGAGACAGGAAGAGACAGGUGGAGCUGUAGUUCUAUGAAACAGGAAGAGUUUGGUGGAGACAGGCGGAGCUGUGGUACUAUGAGACAGGAAGAGACAGGUGGAGCUGUAGUUCUAUGAAACAGGAAGAGUUUGGUGGAGACAGGCGGAGC